rnacentral:rRNA from 1 species
CGGUAAUACGGAGGAUCCAAGCGUUAUCCGGAAUCAUUGGGUUUAAAGGGUCCGUAGGCGGUCAGAUAAGUCAGUGGUGAAAGCCCAUCGCUCAACGGUGGAACGGCCAUUGAUACUGUCUGACUUGAAUUAUUAGGAAGUAACUAGAAUAUGUAGUGUAGCGGUGAAAUGCUUAGAGAUUACAUGGAAUACCAAUUGCGAAGGCAGGUUACUACUAAUUGAUUGACGCUGAUGGACGAAAGCGUGGGUAGCGAACAGGAUUAGAUACCCUGGUAGUCCACGCCGUAAACGAUGGAUACUAGCUGUUGGGAGCAAUCUCAGUGGCUAAGCGAAAGUGAUAAGUAUCCCACCUGGGGAGUACGUUCGCAAGAAUGAA